rnacentral:rRNA from 1 species
UACGUAGGGUGCAAGCGUUGUCCGGAAUUAUUGGGCGUAAAGAGCUCGUAGGCGGUUUGUCGCGUCUGCUGUGAAAACUCGGGGCUCAACCCCGGGCCUGCAGUGGGUACGGGCAGACUAGAGUGCGGUAGGGGAGACUGGAAUUCCCGGUGUAGCGGUGAAAUGCGCAGAUAUCGGGAGGAACACCGGUGGCGAAGGCGGGUCUCUGGGCCGAUACUGACGCUGAGACGCGAAAGCGUGGGGGGCAAACAGG